CAGCCGCCGCGGUAAUACGGAGGAUCCAAGCGUUAUCCGGAUUUAUUGGGUUUAAAGGGUGCGUAGGCGGCCUGUUAAGUCAGGGGUGAAAGACGGUAGCUUAACUAUCGCAGUGCCCUUGAUACUGAUGGGCUUGAAUGUACUGGAGGUAGGCGGAAUGUGACAAGUAGCGGUGAAAUGCAUAGAUAUGUCACAGAACACCAAUUGCGAAGGCAGCUUACUAUGGUAUGAUUGACGCUGAGGCACGAAAGCGUGGGGAUCAAACAGGAUUAGAUACCCCAGUAGUCCCUGUCUCUUAUAC
rnacentral:rRNA from 1 species